rnacentral:tRNA from 1 species
GGAGUAAAGCGCAGGGGUAGAGUGUGUGCUUGCAUGCACGAGGUCCUGGGUUCAAUCCCCAGUAGCUCCA